CCUACGGGGUGCAGCAGUGAGGAAUAUUGGUCAAUGGACGAGAGUCUGAACCAGCCAAGUAGCGUGAAGGAUGACUGCCCUAUGGGUUGUAAACUUCUUUUAUAUGGGAAUAAAAUGUUCCACGUGUGGGAGUUUGUAUGUACCAUAUGAAUAAGGAUCGGCUAACUCCGUGCCAGCAGCCGCGGUAAUACGGAGGAUCCGAGCGUUAUCCGGAUUUAUUGGGUUUAAAGGGAGCGUAGGUGGAUUGUUAAGUCAGUUGUGAAAGUUUGCGGCUCAACCGUAAAAUUGCAGUUGAAACUGGCAGUCUUGAGUACAGUAGAGGUGGGCGGAAUUCGUGGUGUAGCGGUGAAAUGCUUAGAUAUCACGAAGAACUCCGAUUGCGAAGGCAGCUCACUGGACUGCAACUGACACUGAGGCUCGAAAGUGUGGGUAUCAAACAGGAUUAGAUACCCUUGUAGUC
rnacentral:rRNA from 1 species